AUCGUUGCGCCUCCUGGGAGAAGGGACGCCGUCAUCUUCCACCGAAAGCUUUGGAAAGCAUUAAGGAAAUUCCUGUAGCCUCACAGUUACUACGGUUCCUCCCAUAGUUGCUUAUAAUGGGCUCAAAAUGCCAGACGCAAUGUCUAACAAGGAUGGAGACAAGAAAAGAGAUUGUAGACCUUUAAAAAACAAGAAGGCAGUAAGUACCUGUUUCAUCAGCAUAAGGGCUAUUUGUAUGUAAGGAUGGAAGGAGCCUGGGAGCCUGAAUGGGGGAAAGUUGUCCAAUGACUAAGGACACCUGCUUUUAACAGCAAAGGAUACAGUCAACAAAACUCAAAGACAACCUACAGAAUGGGAGAAGAUAUUUGCAAAUGACAUAUCAGAUAAAGGGCUAGUUUCCAAGAUCUAUAAAGAACUUAUUAAACUCAACACCA
rnacentral:lncRNA from 1 species